UGACAAUAACCGUAUCCUUUAUGGUAUUCUCCUAAAAAAAAAUAAUAAUAAACUACAUCACACGUGUCAUAACUCGAGCAAAAGACUGCACAAAAUUGUUUUUAGGCUCAUGGGAAUGACGAAAUGCAUGCGUCAAAUUAAGCAUCCAAUUUCUAAGACUAACUUUGAAAACUUUAUGCAAAAGCCAAAGCAACUCCUUGACGUUAUAUAAUACGCCCCCCUAUACGAGUUCGGUGAGCCGACAAUCAAUGGUAAAGUAGAACCAAACCAAUCCUCAUUGACAUGUUCAUCAAUUAUUCUAUGUUAUUCUCGUUAAGGUCAAUAUGGCCUUGAGCAUCAGAGCACCAUCCAUCAUCAUGAAAAGGGUUCUUCUCUCAGGUGCUUCUGCUCUUGCCAAGCUUCUAAGUUGAGUGCAGACAAUAAAGUGAAGAGUAAAAAGGACUCCAGCCGAAACACACUAGGGAACCUCAGAACCUCUGAAUGCAGAACAGACAAAGAAACACAAAAUGCACGCAUACUUGUAUUUACAGCUACAUCCAAGUGUGGUGAAACACCAUCAUGAUCACAACAAGGUACUUCUGAUUGCACAAGGGAGAGCAUUCGGAACAUAAAAAGAGAGAAAAGAAGUUGCACGAUUAGUUCCCUUUUCCUCAAUCUGGAUUUGCGUCUUGUCCUGAUAUUGUUUUAACUUCUACUAUGAGCCAUGUAUUACAAAUCUCAAGAUUGUCGUGUAUCACUUUGGGUUGUACUAGUAAAGAAGGGGAUAAUUUGAUUUGUUAUACAUGGCUUGGAUUAAGUGAAGCGAUGGCCAGACAAGAAGAAAAUUAAAUUCUCAUAUUUCAUAGUUCAUCCAUUUUCAACAGAAGAAUAAGAAAAGGAUGGGUUUAAGCUUAACUCAAACACAAACAAAGAAGCGGGAAAUAUAAAAAUAAAUAAAAAGACACUAGUUGAAAACUAAAGUUUUUCUGGGAAACGAAAGGGACAAAAUAAAGAACAAUCAAGACAUUCCAUUAUGAAAGCAAUUGAGUACUUUAACAUGCAUUUGGGGGGUCCAAAUUCUCAGUUCCAGUUGCCGACAGCAUGGUUCAAGUACUCAAACACUAAUUAUGCAUGCAAUGAUAACUGCAAUGAAGUCAACUCAUAAUGAGGAGCAACCUAAAUUCAAUUCCUAAUCUUAUCAAUUCUCAGUGUGUAAAUGACAUAGGAUUCCCAAGCACUUUUUAACACACGUCCCACAAUUUUUUAAAAUUAGGCAAUGAUUAGACUAUGCCAUGGUAAAGAGCUUCUGCCUGCCUAUAAAAGACCCUGCCACAACAAAAUAUAUCUCAAGUUCUCAACAAUUCCUAUUCACCUAAAGCAUGCAUCAUCUUCAGCUUAAGAUGGGAAGACAGAGCCACAUUCAUCUUCUUUUGAUAUGGCUCCUGCUCGCAACUUCUCAAUACCACCACUACACUAUUAAUGCUCAAGCUCUUGAAUCAGUUCAGUUCAAGCUCAAUCCUGCACUGCGCAGUUCAAGGCCAGGCUCGGGAACCAGAUAUGCUUUACCUACUCGGGUAAGUGAAAGGAAGAGGAUUCAUAAAACUCCAUCAGGACCCAACCCAGCAGGCAAUCAUCGCCCACCAUCUAAGCAAUGAACAAUUAUCACUUGUACUUAACAUAGUAAGUAGAACUAAUUAAGGAUCAUUACAUUGGUUAGAGACCAGAGAAUGUCAGUUGUUUUCAUGUAUGUCGGACAACCUCACCUUUGAGGUACGUGCUAGUACAAAAUUGGGAUUUAGAAGAGUUAAAUUCUAGUUGGGUCUAUACAUGAGCAAAUGUUUAGUGUAAGAUAACAUGUAUGUCAAUCCUGAAAUUACAAGACUACAUCUAUGCAAAAACUCAAGCCAUGAAGUGCAAGUUUUGGAGCAAGUUUUUAACUUUCUAAGGCAGUUGAGAUACAAAUCCAAGAAAAGGGUUCACAUGUUAAUAUGCAAAAUGAAACGCAUCCAAAAGAAAAGUUGUUGUCCUGAAGGCUUGACUAAGUUGCAGAAGGGUGAAAAUGGAAAAUAAAACAAUUUUAAAUCCACUGAAUAAAAUUUCCAGAUAUACGAAAACCAGCUGCGCUGAUUUCUUAGCCACGUUACUUUAGACAACCUAGUAAGUAGUACCUAAGACCAAGGUAUUAUCUUUCACAAAAU